CCUACGGGAGGCAGCAGUGGGGAAUAUUGGGCAAUGGGCGCAAGCCUGACCCAGCAACGCCGCGUGAAGGAAGAAGGCCUUCGGGUUGUAAACUUCUUUUGUCAGGGACGAAGAAAGUGACGGUACCUGACGAAUAAGCCACGGCUAACUACGUGCCAGCAGCCGCGGUAAUACGUAGGUGGCAAGCGUUAUCCGGAUUUACUGGGUGGAAAGGGCGUGUAGGCGGGAGAGCAAGUCAGACGUGAAAUUCCGGGGCUCAACCCUGGAACUGCGUUUGAAACUGUUCUUCUUGAGUGAUGGAGAGGCAGGAGGAAUUCCGGGUGUAGCGGUGAAAUGCGGAGAUAGACGGAGGAACACCAGUGGCGAAGGCGGCCUGCUGGACAUUAACUGACGCUGAGGCGCGAAAGCGUGGGGAGCAAACAGGAUUAGAGACCCUUGUAGUC
rnacentral:rRNA from 1 species